rnacentral:lncRNA from 1 species
AAAAGAGGCGUGUUUUGAGAAACAGCUGUAUUUACAAAGUGCAACCUAUAGUGCGAUGGGGACGCUAAAAUGCGAUGGUCACGCUAAAGUGCGAUGGCCUACGCUAAAGUACGAUGGUUUGAUACGCUAAAGUGCGUUUUUCUGCAAAUACAUCGACGUUAUAAAAGUUCGACAGCAUUAUGACGAGAAUGUUUGUCCAGAUUAAGGAUUUUUAUUACACGAGAAAAGAAAGAAGAGAAGAGAAAAACAAAUAAUCAUGCACAAUCUGGAAUUUUUGGUCGUUGCUGGAAUAGGUUAACCUAAUUUGUGAAAUUGUAGAAAUAACUUUAAUCAAAACAUUUACUUUCUAAUUGAAUUAUUCAAUACAAAAAAAAAAAAACUCUAUGGUUGUUAUUUCUGUUAAAUAAUAAAUACUAGCAUAUGUCAAUUAGACAGCAACCUAACAAACAGAUGUGUAGUAUCAUCAUACUAUAUGAUUGCCAAUACGACAACUAUCUAUCUUCGACCUAAUGUCAUUGAAAUAUGCAACUUUAAGUAUGACCUUUAACACGGGGCAUUGUCUUAUAACAUAUUAUUUUAUUAAAAAAAAGACUUCCACUACAUUCCAGAUGUACUAACAAUACUUCCGUGUAAUCAUUACACCUUUUGAACAACUUUUAUACUUUAAAUUAACAUAAGAAGAUGUAGAAUAAACUAUCCAUUCAAUCCCAAAUGCCGUUCAUGUAUGCAGCUUAUAAUCAUACAGCCGUCAACGUAAAGCAUUGGUCCAUGCCGCUACAAGCUAUAUAGGGUUAUACAAUGACCAGUGUAAAACAAUUCAAAAAUAAAGACUUCGGCUUGACACAUAAUCAAAACAAUAAACGAAAAUGUAAUAAGAACUCAGCAACAAACGAAAACCAUUGCCAGAACCACAUUCCCGUUACACCAUCGGACUUUAGCGUGAUUUCUGAUCGCACUUAAAAAACAAACAACCAUCGCACUUUAGCGUCUGAUACCAUCGCACUUUAGCGUAGACCAUCGUACUUUAGCGUGACCAUCGCACUUUAG